rnacentral:rRNA from 1 species
AAUGGCCGCAGUAUUUUGACUGUGCAAAGGUAGCAUAAUCAUUAGUUUCUUAAUUAGAAACUGGAAUGAAGGGUUGAACGAAAAAAUAACUGUCUCUUUUUAAAUUAUUUAGAAUUUUAUUUUUAAGUUAAAAAGCUUAAAUUUUUUUAAAAGACGAGAAGACCCUAUAGAGUUUUAUAUUACUUUAAUUUAGUGAUUUAUAUUUAAUUUUUAAAAUUUUAAAUUUUAUAAUAUUUAGUUGGGGUGAUUAAAAAAUUUAAUAAACUUUUUUUUUAUUUAUACAUUAAUUUAUGAUUUAUUGAUCCAUUAGUUUAUGAUUAAAAGAUUAAAUUACCUUAGGGAUAACAGCGUAAUUUCUUUGUAGAGUUCUAAUCGAUAAAGAAGUUUGCGACCUCGAUGUUGGAUUAAAAUUUAUUUUUGGUGUAGAAGCUAGAAUAUUAGGUCUGUUCGACCUUUAAAAUUUUACAUGAUCUGAGUUUAAACCGGUGUAAGCCAGGUUGGUUUCUAUCUUUAAACUUAUAAAAUAUUUUAGUACGAAAGGACCAAAUAUUUAUAAAAUUUAUUUAGUUAGGAAUUUUAUUAAUAUUC